rnacentral:rRNA from 1 species
CCUACGGGUCGCUGCAGUGAGGAAUAUUGGUCAAUGGGCUUACGCCUGAACCAGCCAAGUCGCGUGAGUGAAGACUGCCCUAUGGGUUGUAAACCUCUUUUGUCAUGGAGCAACGCCGGCUACGUGUAGCCGGACUGAGAGUACCUGAAGAAAAAGCAUCCGCUAACUCCGUGCCAUCAGCCGCGGUAAUACGGAGGAUGCGAGCGUUAUCCGGAUUUAUUGGGUUUAAAGGGUGCGUAGGCGGAAUGCCAAGUCAGCGGUAAAAUCGCGGGGCUCAACCGCACUCCGACGUUGAAACUGGCGUUAUUGAGUGGGCGAGAAGUAUGCGGAAUGCGUGGUGUAGCGGUGAAAUGCAUAGAUAUCACGCAGAACUCCGAUUGCGAAGGCAGCAUACCGGCGCCCAACUGACGCUGAAGCACGAAAGCGUGGGGAUCGAACAGGAUUAGAUACCCUAGUAGUC